rnacentral:rRNA from 1 species
ACGAACGUUAGCGGCGCGCCUAACACAUGCAAGUCGAGCGGGGGGGCAACCUCCAGCGGCGCACGGGUGAGUAACACGUAGGUGACCUGCCUCUAGGUGGGGGACAACCUUCCGAAAGGAGGGCUAAUACCGCAUACGAACGAUAUCGCUAGGUAUCGUGGAAAGGGGGCUCGCAAGGGCUCUCGCCGAGAGAUGGGCCUGCGGCGCAUCAGGUAGUUGGUGAGGUAAUGGCUCACCAAGCCGAAGACGCGUAGCUGGUCUGAGAGGAUGAUCAGCCACACUGGAACUGAGACACGGUCCAGACUCCUACGGGAGGCAGCAGUGGGGAAUCUUGCGCAAUGGGCGAAAGCCUGACGCAGCGACGCCGCGUGAGUGAUGAAGGCCUUCGGGUUGUAAAGCUCUGUGGAGGGGAAAGAAUAAGUCGGAGUUAAUACCUCCGAUGAUGACGGUACCCCUUCAGCAAGCACCGGCUAACUCUGU